rnacentral:rRNA from 1 species
UGGGGAAUUUUGGACAAUGGGCGAAAGCCUGAUCCAGCAAUGCCGCGUGUGUGAAGAAGGCCUUCGGGUUGUAAAGCACUUUUGUCCGGAAAGAAAUCCUUGGCUCUAAUACAGUCGGGGGAUGACGGUACCGGAAGAAUAAGCACCGGCUAACUACGUGCCAGCAGCCGCGGUAAUACGUAGGGUGCAAGCGUUAAUCGGAAUUACUGGGCGUAAAGCGUGCGCAGGCGGUUUGCUAAGACCGAUGUGAAAUCCCCGGGCUCAACCUGGGAACUGCAUUGGUGACUGGCAGGCUAGAGUAUGGCAGAGGGGGGUAGAAUUCCACGUGUAGCAGUGAAAUGCGUAGAGAUGUGGAGGAAUACCGAUGGCGAAGGCAGCCCCCUGGGUCAAUACUGACGCUCAUGCACGAAAGCGUGGGGAGCAAACAGGAUUAGAUAUCCUGGUAGUCCACGCCCUAAACGAUGUCAACUAGUUGUUGGGGAUUCAUUUCCUUAGUAACGUAGCUAACGCGUGAAGUUGACCGCCUGGGGAGUACGGCCGCAAGAUUAAAACUCAAAUGAAUUGAC